AUACGGAGGGUGCAAGCGUUACUCGGAAUCACUGGGCGUAAAGCGCGCGCAGGCGGGCUGAUAAGUUGGAUGUGAAAGCCUACGGCUCAACCGUAGAACUGCAUCCAAAACUGUCAGUCUCGAGUCUGGGAGGGGAAGAUGGAAUUAGUUGUGUAGGGGUAAAAUCCGUAGAGAUAACUAGGAAUACCAAAAGCGAAGGCGAUCUUCUGGAACAGUACUGACGCUGAGGCGCGGAAGCGUGGGGAGCAAACAGGAUUAGAAACCCUAGUAGUCC
rnacentral:rRNA from 1 species